UAUUUUUGAAAAAUUGGACAAUUAGGUUAUUUCGGUAGUUCCGUACUUGUAUUAUGUGUCAGCUCGUGGUUUUUUUGAAUUUUUAAAUAUUUUUUAAUUAUUUUUAUUUUUAUUUUUUAUUUUUAAAUUUUUUUUUAAAUAAUUUUUUUUCCUAUGUGUCAAGUUGACAUUGUGCCACAUGACAAUGAUAGUGUGACAUGGCAUUGACAAUGCCAUAUGUCACUAUCAGGCCACGUGUUACUCCAUUUGUCUCAAUUUGGU
rnacentral:lncRNA from 1 species